rnacentral:tRNA from 1 species
GGGCCCGUAGCCUAGCACGGAUCAGGGCGUCAGCCUCCGAAGCUGAAGACCGAGGGUUCGAAUCCCUCCGGGCCCGCCA